CAGCCGCCGCGGUAAUACGUAGGGUGCAAGCGUUAAUCGGAAUUACUGGGCGUAAAGCGUGCGCAGGCGGUUAUAUAAGACAGAUGUGAAAUCCCCGGGCUCAACCUGGGAACUGCAUUUGUGACUGUAUAGCUAGAGUACGGCAGAGGGGGAUGGAAUUCCGCGUGUAGCAGUGAAAUGCGUAGAUAUGCAGAGGAACACCGAUGGCGAAGGCAAUCCCCUGGGCCUGUACUGACGCUCAUGCACGAAAGCGUGGGGAGCAAACAGGAUUAGAUACCCCAGUAGUCCCUGUCUCUUAUAC
rnacentral:rRNA from 1 species